rnacentral:rRNA from 1 species
UAGGGAAUCUUGGACAAUGGGCGAAAGCCUGAUCCAGCGACGCCGCGUGGGGGACGAAGGCCCUCGGGUUGUAAACCCCUGUUGGGAGGAAAGAAGCCGGCCGCAAGGCCGGUGACGGUACCUCUCGAGGAAGCCCCGGCUAACUACGUGCCAGCAGCCGCGGUAAGACGUAGGGGGCGAGCGUUAUCCGGAUUCACUGGGCGUAAAGGGCGCGUAGGCGGCUGCGUAAGUCCGGCGUGAAAUCCCACGGCUCAACUGUGGAACUGCGUCGGAUACUGCGCUGGCUAGAGGAUGGUAGAGGCCUGUAGAACUAGCGGUGUAGCGGUGAAAUGCGCAGAUAUCGCUAGGAAUGCCGGUGGCGAAGGCGGCGGGCUGGGCCACUCCUGACGCUGAUGCGCGAAAGCUAGGGGAGCGAACCGGAUUAGAUACCCCCGUAGUCC